rnacentral:rRNA from 1 species
GCUUAUGUGGUUGAAAAUCAAAUUAAUUAAAAAUAAAGCUUGAAGCAUCAAAAAAUUAAGUAAUGGAGAAAGAAAAUUAAUUUUUAGUUUUUUAAGUACUGUAAAGGAAAAAACCAAAUAUAAAAAAAUUAGCUUAGCUUUGCGUACUUUUUGCAUCACGGCUUAGCGAGAGAUACCUGAAGUUUCAGAUUCUCGAAAGUUAGUCGAGCUAUUUUUUUCUAGGCAAAUUAGACCUUGAAAAAAUAAAAUAAUUACUAAAAAUGUAGCAAAAUUUUAGUGAAAGAAAAAAAUAGAAAUGAAAUUUUAUUCGUGCUAACGAUAGCUAGUUUUCUUGAAAACGUAUAGAAGUACGGCGGUAAGAUUAGGGUAUAAAAAUACUGUUUUGUAGCCUGUCUUACAUGUAAUUUUUUUAAGGAUAAGCUUAAAAAUGGGUAGUAGUAAAUAUCUUUAAGCUUGUGAUGUAGGCCUGAGAUUAGCUAACAUUUUAAACUUGUUAUAAAGUAAUAUUAAAAAAACAAAAAAUAAAUAUAUUUUUUACUCUAACUUAUACGGGAACAAAAAAUAAGACUAUUUAAUUUAUCAGCUUAUGUUAAGAUGAGUAUCAAAACUAGAAUAUAUCUUGGGGGUUGAAUAAUUUUAACUCUUAUUAACCAAAAUUUCUAUCCGAGCUAAGUAGAAGGAAGGAACUCGGCAAAAUAAGUUGCUCCGCCUGUUUAUCAAAAACAUGGCUCUUUGUAGCAAAAAAAUGAAGAGUCGGACCUGCCCAGUGAAAAUUUUCAACGGCCGCGGUACUCUGACCGUGCAAAGGUAGCAUAAUCAUUUGCCUUAUAAUUGAAGGCUUGUAUGAAUGGUUUAACGAAAGCAACACUGUCUCCUUUUUAAUUGAUAGAAUUUAACCUUUAGGUGAAGAGGCCUAAAUUAAAUUGAAGGACAAGAAGACCCUGUUGAGCUUGAAAGAAAGGCAGAAAGUGAGCUAUUUCCUAUAAAUGCAUAACUGCUAUAAGCUUUUUGGUUGGGGCGACUAAGGAACAAAAAAAGCUUCUUUAUAUAAAUAAAUUUGUAAGUAAUGAUCCAGUAAAUCUGAUUAAAAGAAUUAGUUACCACAGGGAUAACAGCAUAAUCUCUCUUAAGAGACCUAAUCGAAAGAGGGGGUUGUGACCUCGAUGUUGGACUAGAAUAUCCCAAAGGUGCAGAAGUCUUUGAAGGUUGGUCUGUUCGACCAUUAAAAUUCUACAUGAUCUGAGUUC